GCACCUUAUAAAGCGGGUGCCGGGAUUGGCGUCCUGGAGAAGGCUACCGCGUACAACCGCGUAGAUGCGGUUUUUUU
rnacentral:sRNA from 3 species